AAGAGAGGUCUAGGACACAAAGAACUGCUAAUUCUUUCCCCUCGCGGCUCAAAUCCGCGGCUCACUUA
rnacentral:tRNA from 1 species